GUCAUCCUACGGGGCGCAGCAGUGGGGAAUAUUGCACAAUGGGGGAAACCCUGAUGCAGCGACGCCGCGUGAGUGAAGAAGUAUUUCGGUAUGUAAAGCUCUAUCAGCAGGGAAGAAAAUGACGGUACCUGACUAAGAAGCCCCGGCUAACUGCGUGCCAGCAGCCGCGGCAAUACGUAGGGGGCAAGCGUUAUCCGGAUUUACUGGGUGUAAAGGGAGCGUAGACGGUAGAGCAAGUCUGAAGUGAAAGCCCGCGUCUCAACUGCGGGACUGCUUUGGAAACUGUUCAACUGGAGUGCUGGAGG
rnacentral:rRNA from 1 species